rnacentral:tRNA from 1 species
CGAUAGCUCAGUUGGUAGAGCAAUCGACUGUUAAUCGAUCGGUCGUAGGUUCGAGUCCUACUCG